rnacentral:rRNA from 1 species
AUUGAACGCUGGCGGCAGGCCUAACACAUGCAAGUCGAGCGGAGCGGCGGACGGGUGAAUAAUGCCUAGGAAUCUGACUGGUAGUGGGUGAUAACGUCCGGCAACGGGCGCUAAUACCGCAUACUAUCAGAUGAGCCUAGGGCGGAUUAGCAAGUUGGUGGGGUAAAGGCCUACCAAGGCGACAAUCCGUACCUGGGCUGAGAGGAUGAUCAGUAAAACGGGAAAUGAGACACGGUCCAGACUCCUACGGGAGGCAGCAGUGGGGAAUAUUGGACAAGGGGCGAAAGCCUGAUCCAGCCAUGCAGCGUGUGUGAAGAAGGUCUUCGGAUUGUAAAGCACUUUAAGUUGGGAGGCGUUACCAACAGAAUAAGCACCGGCUAACUUCGUGCCAGCAGCCGCGGUAAUAC